rnacentral:rRNA from 1 species
GACGAACGCUGGCGGCGUGCCUAAUACAUGCAAGUAGAACGCACAGUUUAUACCGUAGCUUGCUACACCAUAGACUGUGAGUUGCGAACGGGUGAGAAACGCGUAGGUAACCUGCCUGGUAGCGGGGGAUAACUAUUGGAAACGAUAGCUAAUACCGCAUAAUAUUAAUUAUUGCAUGAUAAUUAAUUGAAAGGUGCAAUUGCACCACUACCAGAUGGACCUGCGUUGUAUUAGCUAGUAGGUGAGGUAACGGCUCACCUAGGCGACGAUACAUAGCCGACCUGAGAGGGUGAUCGGCCACACUGGGACUGAGACACGGCCCAGACUCCUACGGGAGGCAGCAGUAGGGAAUCUUCGGCAAUGGACGAAAGUCUGACCGAGCAACGCCGCGUGAGUGAAGAAGGUUUUCGGAUCGUAAAGCUCUGUUGUAAGAGAAGAACGGGUGUGAGAGUGGAAAGUUCACACUGUGACGGUAUCUGACCAGAAAGGGACGGCUAACUACGUG